rnacentral:rRNA from 1 species
UACGUAGGGGGCAAGCGUUGUCCGGAUUUAUUGGGCGUAAAGAGCUCGUAGGCUGUUCGAUAAGUCGGGUGUGAAACCUCCAGCUCAACCUGGAGACGCCACCCGAUACUGUCAUGACUAGAGUCCGGUAGGGGAGCGUGGAAUUCCUGGUGUAGCGGUGAAAUGCGCAGAUAUCAGGAGGAACACCAAUGGCGAAGGCAGCUCGCUGGGACGGUACUGACGCUGAGACGCGGAAAGCGUGGGGAGCAAACAGG